rnacentral:rRNA from 1 species
CCUACGGGAGGCAGCAGUGAGGAAUAUUGGUCAAUGGACGAGAGUCUGAACCAGCCAAGUAGCGUGAAGGAUGACUGCCCUAUGGGUUGUAAACUUCUUUUAUAAAGGAAUAAAACGAGGCACGUGUGCCUUUUUGCAUGUACUUUAUGAAUAAGGAUCGGCUAACUCCGUGCCAGCAGCCGCGGUAAUACGGAGGAUCCGAGCGUUAUCCGGAUUUAUUGGGUUUAAAGGGAGCGUAGAUGGGUUGUUAAGUCAGUUGUGAAAGUUUGCGGCUCAACCGUAAAAUUGCAAUUGAUACUGGCAGUCGUGAGUACAGUUGAGGUAGGCGGAAUUCGUGGUGUAGCGGUGAAAUGCUGAGAUAUCACGAAGAACCCCGAUUGCGAAGGCAGCUUACUAAACUGUGACUGACAUUGAUGCUCGAAAGUGUGGGUAUCAAACAGGAUUAGAUACCCGAGUAGUC